UGAGUACGAGAUGCUACGGCAUCGAAGCAGUCUAUGUCAUACUUCCAAGAAAAGCUUGCACUGUCAGAAACAGAUAAUGCCUGUACCAUAACCGACACAGGUGGGUAGGUAGAGUAUACUAAGGGGCGCGAGAUAACUCUCUCUAAGGAACUCGGCAAAAUGACUCCGUAACUUCGGGAGAAGGAGUGCCUUAUUUUUAAGGUUGCAAUAACAAGAUCCAAGCAACUGUUUACCAAAAACACAGGUCUCCGCUAAGUCGUAAGACGAUGUAUGGGGGCUGACGCCUGCCCAGUGCCAGAAGGUUAAAGAAGUCGGUUAGCAUUCGCGAAGCUGGUAACUGAAGCCCUGGUGAACGGCGGCCGUAACGAUAACGGUCCUAAGGUAGCGAAAUUCCUUGUCGGGUAAGUUCCGACCCGCACGAAAGGCGUAAUGAUUUGGAUACUGUCUCGGAGAGGGGCUCGGUGAAAUAGACUUGUCUGUGAAGAUGCGGACUACCUGCACCUGGACGGAAAGACCCUAUGAAGCUUUACUGUAACUUGAAAUUGAAAUUGGACUUUAUUUGCGCAGUAUAGGUGGGAGGCGUUGAAAAUAUUCUUGCGGGAAUAUUGGAGCCAUCAGUGAGAUACCACUCUUGUAAUGUUAGAUUUCUAACUUUAUAUCAUUAUCUGGUUAAAGAACAGUUUCAGGCGGGCAGUUUGACUGGGGCGGUCGCCUCCCAAAUGGUAACGGAGGCGCACAAAGGUUUCCUCUGAACGGGUAGAAAUCGUAUCUAGAGUGUAAAGGCAUAAGGAAGCUUGACUGUGAGACCUACAAGUCGAGCAGGGACGAAAGUCGGUCUUAGUGAUCUGACGGUGCUGAGUGGAAAGGCCGUCACUCAACGGAUAAAAGUUACUCUAGGAUAACAGGCUGAUCUCCCCCAAGAGUUCACAUCGACGGGGAGGUUUGGCACCUCGAUGUCGGCUCAUCGCAUCCUGGGGCGGUAGUACGUCCCAAGGGUUGGGCUGUUCGCCCAUGAAAGCGGUACGCGAGCUGGGUUCAGAACGUCGUGAGACAGUUCGGUCCAUAUCCGGUGUAGGCGUUAGAAUAUUGAGAGGAGCCUUCUUUAGUACGAGAGGACCGAGAAGGACAUACCUCUGGUGUACCAGUUAUCGUGCCAACGGUAAACGCUGGGUAGCUAUGUAUGGAGUGGAUAACCGCUGAAAGCAUCUAAGUGGGAAGCCCACCUCAAGAUAAGUAUUCUCAU
rnacentral:rRNA from 1 species